rnacentral:rRNA from 1 species
UACGGGGGGGGCAAGCGUUGUUCGGAAUUACUGGGCGUAAAGGGCUCGUAGGUGGCCAACUAAGUCAGACGUGAAAUCCCUCGGCUUAACCGGGGAACUGCGUCUGAUACUGGAUGGCUUGAGUUUGGGAGAGGGAUGCGGAAUUCCAGGUGUAGCGGUGAAAUGCGUAGAGAUCGGGAGGAACACCGGUGGCGAAGGCGGGUCUCUGGGCAUCUCCUGACGCUGAGGCGCGAAAGCGUGGGGAGCAAACGGG